rnacentral:pre_miRNA from 1 species
UUCUUCAGAGAGUUUUAGUCGUUUGUAAUUAAGUAUGACUGAAGCAUCUGAGGGAGA